rnacentral:rRNA from 1 species
ACGAACGCUGGCGGCACGCUUAACACAUGCAAGUCGAACGAGAGAAGAGAAGCUUGCUUUUCUGAUCUAGUGGCGGACGGGUGAGUAACACGUGAGCAAUCUGCCUUUCAGAGGGGGAUACCGAUUGGAAACGAUCGUUAAUACCGCAUAAUAUAAUUGAACCGCAUGAUUUGAUUAUCAAAGAUUUAUCGCUGAAAGAUGAGCUCGCGUCUGAUUAGCUAGUUGGUAAGGUAACGGCUUACCAAGGCGACGAUCAGUAGCCGGACUGAGAGGUUGAUCGGCCACAUUGGGACUGAGACACGGCCCAGACUCCUACGGGAGGCAGCAGUGGGGAAUAUUGCACAAUGGAGGAAACUCUGAUGCAGCGAUGCCGCGUGAGGGAAGAAGGUUUUAGGAUUGUAAACCUCUGUCUUCAGGGACGAAAAAAGACGGUACCUGAGGAGGAAGCUCCGGCUAACUACGUGCCAGCAGCCGCGGUAAUACGUAGGGAGCGAGCGUUGUCCGGAAUUACUGGGUGUAAAGGGAGCGUAGGCGGGAUCGCAAGUCAGAUGUGAAAAUUAUGGGCUUAACCCAUAAACUGCAUUUGAAACUGUGGUUCUUGAGUGAAGUAGAGGUAAGCGGAAUUCCUAGUGUAGCGGUGAAAUGCGUAGAUAUUAGGAGGAACAUCAGUGGCGAAGGCGGCUUACUGGGCUUUAACUGACGCUGAGGCUCGAAAGCGUGGGGAGCAAACAGGAUUAGAUACCCUGGUAGUCCACGCCGUAAACGAUGAUUACUAGGUGUGGGGGGACUGACCCCUUCCGUGCCGCAGCAAACGCAAUAAGUAAUCCACCUGGGGAGUACGACCGCAAGGUUGAAACUCAAAGGAAUUGACGGGGGCCCGCACAAGCAGUGGAGUAUGUGGAUUAAUUCGAAGCAACGCGAAGAACCUUACCAGGUCUUGACAUCGUAUGCAUAGCUCAGAGAUGAGUGAAAUCUCUUCGGAGACAUAUAGACAGGUGGUGCAUGGUUGUCGUCAGCUCGUGUCGUGAGAUGUUGGGUUAAGUCCCGCAACGAGCGCAACCCUUACUGUUAGUUGCUACGCAAGAGCACUCUAGCAGGACUGCCGUUGACAAAACGGAGGAAGGUGGGGAUGACGUCAAAUCAUCAUGCCCCUUAUGACCUGGGCCUCACACGUACUACAAUGGCUGUCAACAGAGGGAUGCAAAGCCGCGAGGUGGAGCGAACCCCUAAAAGCAGUCUUAGUUCGGAUUGUAGGCUGCAACCCGCCUACAUGAAGUCGGAAUUGCUAGUAAUCGCAGAUCAGCAUGCUGCGGUGAAUACGUUCCCGGGCCUUGUACACACCGCCCGUCACGCUAUGGGAGUCGGUAACACCCGAAGCCUGUAGUCUAACCGCAAGGAGGACGCAGUCGAAGGUGGGAUUGAUGACUGGGGUG